rnacentral:rRNA from 1 species
GAUGAACGCUGGCGGCGUGCCUAAUACAUGCAAGUCGAGCGAAUGGAUUAGGAGCUUGCUCUUAUGAAGUUAGCGGCGGACGGGUGAGUAACACGUGGGUAACCUGCCCAUAAGACUGGGAUAACUCCGGGAAACCGGGGCUAAUACCGGAUAACAUUUUGAACCGCAUGGUUCGAAAUUGAGAGGCGGCUUCGGCUGUAACUUAUGGAUGGACCCGCGUCGCAUUAGCUAGUUGGUGAGGGAACGGCUCACCAAGGCAACGAUGCGGAGCCGACCUGAGAGGGUGGUCGGCCACACUGGGACUGAGACACGGCCCAGACUCCUACCGGAGGCAGCAGUAGGGAAUCUUCCGCAAUUGACGAAAGUCUGACGGAGCAACGCCGCGUGAGUGAUGAAGGCUUUCGGGUCGUAAAACUCUGUUGUUAGGGAAGAACAAGUGCUAGUUGAAUAAGCUGGCACCUUGACGGUACCUAACCAGAAAGCCACGGCUAACUACGUGCCAGCCGCCGCUGUAA